rnacentral:rRNA from 1 species
UCAGGACGAACGCUGGCGGCGUGCUUCAUACAUGCAAGUCGAACGAUAAGGUCUCUUCGGAGACACAUAAGUGGCGGACGGGUGAGUAGCGCGUGGGUAACCUGCCUUAUACAGGGGGAUAACAGUCGGAAACGACUGCUAAUACCGCAUAAGCGCACGGAAUCGCAUGAUUCAGUGUGAAAAGAUUUAUCGGUAUAAGAUGGACCCGCGUCUGAUUAGCUAGUUGGUGAGGUAACGGCCCACCAAGGCGACGAUCAGUAGCCGGCCUGAGAGGGUGAACGGCCACAUUGGGACUGAGACACGGCCCAAACUCCUACGGGAGGCAGCAGUGGGGAAUAUUGCACAAUGGGGGAAACCCUGAUGCCAGCGACGCCGCGUGAGUGAAGAAGUAUUUCGGUAUGUAAAGCUCUAUCAGCAGGGAAGGAAAUGACGGUACCUGACUAAGAAGCCCCGGCUAACUACGUGCCAGCCGCCGC